UUAUAUCCAUAACAUUUGUACAAGCCCAUACUUUCAUCAUCUUUCCUCCUCUGCACAUUUAUAGCAUAACCCUUCCUUGUUUCUUGUUCGACCAUCCAAGACAUUCAAACCAUUCAUAAAUUGAUUACAAUAUUAACUUCAAAUUUUAAGAGCAUACAUACACAUAACCUUGAAUCACACCAUAAACUACCACCAUCUCCACUUGAAUCGCCACAAGAACCCCACUUUGCGGCCACCCCUUUCGUUUCCGCCACACGUCACCGUCGCGAGCAACUCGUCACCACCGCACCAUUCAGUUACUGUUUUCCACCGCGGCGGGUCGGUUUCUUUCCAAACUAUCAAGUGCAUGAGGGUGUGCAAAGACAUGUGUAAUCAGGGAUAAUGGGGAAUCAGUAAUGAGAGAUUAAUGGAUGUUCAAGAGUAUUUAAAGACUCUUCAUUUUGUUAAAUCAUGUACUUUUAAAUGAACUUAAGACUUAGGGUUUUUUUUAGACGUGUAU
rnacentral:lncRNA from 1 species